rnacentral:lncRNA from 1 species
UUAUCCACUACCCCCCAUACCCGCUCCCAUCCGCUCUCUCUCCGUCCCCCCUUAUCUUCCUCUCUAUCUGUCCUUUCUCUCUCCGCACGACCGCCACUACUAGAUUUUAGGGCUAAUGCCACAUAAAUCUUUGCAACUUCACCAAAUUAGUUACAUUAGAUGGGUGUUAUUGCAACUAUUCUAUAAUUUGGUUGCAAAAUAUUGAUGCUCU